AACGUAGGAGACAAACGUUAUCCGGAGUUACUGGGCGUAAAGGGCGUGUAGGUGGUUUCGUAAGUCUGGCGUGAAAUUUUUCGGCUUAACCGGGAAAGGUCGUCGGAUACUGCAGAACUAGAGGACGGUAGAGGCGUGUGGAAUUCCGGGUGUAGUGGUGAAAUGCGUAGAGAUCCGGAGGAACACCAGUGGCGAAGGCGACUUCCUGGACCAGUACCGACGUUCAGGCACGAAAGCGUGGGGAGCAAACAGG
rnacentral:rRNA from 1 species